AGGGGCCGGGGCGGGAGCGGUCCCCGCCGGGUCACUGCGGCUCCCGUCUCCCCUCCUCCCCUCCCCGCCCGCUCCCUCGCGCUCCCCUCCCCGCAGCCGGAGUCGAGUCGGCCGGGCCGCGGGGAGAGGUUCGCGGCGGCAGACAAAGCCCGCAGCCGCGAUGGGGGGAGGACCGGCCUCGGCGCUCCGUGGGCCCGGAGGGGGUGCGGGCUGGGCGUGGGCCCUUGGCAGAGAAUGGGGCUCCCCAUCCUUAAGCAGCAGACUGCCCCCUCCCGCCCCUCGGCCCCCCUGUCCCGGAGAUCUCAGAGGCGCCGGCUGGGAGCCAACGAUUCCAGCCCUGGCUACAACUUUCUUCACCUGACUUUUCAAGCAGGAGCCUGUAGUUGGACAAGGAGCCUGCCUACUACCUGUGACCGCCUGCAGAUUCCCUAGCACCUCGGAACCUGUUUCCCUACCUAUAAAAUGAAGAUAAUGGUAGCAAUUACCUCAUGGGAUUGUUGUACAAUUAGUGGGGAAAAGCAUUUAAAGUACUGACAUAGCAGCGUCUAGUACACAGAAAGUGCUUAAUAAAUGUUGGUUGUUAUUA